UACGAAGGGGGCUAGCGUUGUUCGGAAUCACUGGGCGUAAAGGGCGCGUAGGCGGCCCUGUCAGUCGGGUGUGAAAGCCCGGGCUCAACCCGGAACGGCACCCGAGACGGCAGGGCUGGAGACCGGGAGAGGAGGGUGGAAUAGCCAGUGUAGAGGUGAAAUUCGUAGAUAUUGGCUGGAACACCGGUGGCGAAAGCGGCUCUCUGGCCCGGUUCGUGACGCUGAGCACGAAAGCUAGGGUAGCGAACGGG
rnacentral:rRNA from 1 species